CAGUAGCCGCGGUAAUACAGAGGGUGCGAGCGUUAAUCGGAUUUACUGGGCGUAAAGCGUGCGUAGGCGGCUUCUUAAGUCGGAUGUGAAAUCCCUGAGCUUAACUUAGGAAUUGCAUUCGAUACUGGGAAGCUAGAGUAUGGGAGAGGAUGGUAGAAUUCCAGGUGUAGCGGUGAAAUGCGUAGAGAUCUGGAGGAAUACCGAUGGCGAAGGCAGCCAUCUGGCCUAAUACUGACGCUGAGGUACGAAAGCAUGGGGAGCAAACAGGAUUAGAUAUCCCAGUAGUCCCUGUCUCUUAUAC
rnacentral:rRNA from 1 species